rnacentral:lncRNA from 1 species
CGCCUUUCUGUCGAUCUCAUCUUCUUCCUCCAUCUCCGCAUGAUCCUCGCAUUCCAGUACCGCAUUGUCGUCGUCGUCAUCAUCCUCGCAGCCGAUCUCGCUCGCCGCUUUCGUCUCAUGCUUAUCCGGUAAGUAAGCAUUCCUGUCAAGCUUGGCGAAGAUGAGAUCGUCGUCGUCCGUAUCCAAGUCCGCGUCAGGAUUGAUGCAGGGGAUGCGGAGAAGCCGCAUGGAAGGCGUCUUGAAGUGGAAAGCUGGUGUCUCCUCGACGGAGAACUCGCGCUCUCCGAAGUGGAGCCUGUCGGAGCGGCGGCCACCGGGUUUAAGGCUCUUGAGGUAGCCGGGGACGACGCGGAGGCC